CCAAUAGCGUAUAUUAAAGUUGUUGCAGUUAAAAAGCUCGUAGUUGAAUUUCGGGACUAACAGAUUGGUCGCGCCAUUGGUGUGUACUGGUCUAGUUGGUUUCUCCCUUCUGACGAACCACGAUGUCAUUAAUUUGGUGUCGUGGGAAAUCAGGACUGUUACUUUGAAAAAAUUAGAGUGUUUAAAGCAAGCGUUAGCUUGAAUACAUUAGCAUGGAAUA
rnacentral:rRNA from 1 species